CUCUUUUAUAUGUGUAUAUUAGGUGUGGACCUACUGAAUGAACUACUCCAUGGAGUUUUCCACCUGCCAGCAAAAGUACUAACCAACAGAUAAUGAAGUCUGAAUCUAUAAAAGAGACCCAUGAAAGAGUUUGGAAAGAUGUACUUUCCACUGAAAUUACACAUUGCAAAGAUAUCUUUCAUCUUUCUAUUUCAAGUAAGUUGAACAGCACUUCUGUAUCUAUUCAAAAAAAGCAUAUUGAGCUUGAAUAGCUCACAUUAGUCAGGAUAGACAGACUUUUGGUGGCUAAUGGCUGUUCAACAUUAGGACCCAGGAAGUCCUAAUAAGGCCGAUUGUGGGCCUUAUUGUAUUAUGUAUGUGGGAACCGCUGGGAUCUUUGGAAAUUGUGGGGAAUUUAGAAACAGAAGUUUUGUUGUUUAAACAUACACAGUUCUCUUGGUUCCUGCCCCAAAAUAGUGGGUAACAUAUUAUUGUUUUUCAGCUACAUUAAUAAAAUAGGGUCUGAAGCCUCCA